ACGGAGGGUGCAAGCGUUGUCCGGAUUUAUUGGGUUUAAAGGGUGCGUAGGUGGUUUAUUAAGUCAGUGGUGAAAGUCAACAGCUCAACUGUUGAAGUGCCAUUGAUACUGAUAGACUUGAGUAUUGUUGAGGUAGGCGGAAUUUAUGAUGUAGCGGUGAAAUGCAUAGAUAUCAUAAAGAACACCGAUAGCGAAGGCAGCUUACUAAACAAUAACUGACACUGAGGCACGAAAGCGUGGGGAGCGAACAGG
rnacentral:rRNA from 1 species